GUGGGACGACGUAUCGGAUUACUGGGCGUAAAGCGCAUGCAGGUGGUUUGUUAAGUCAGAUGUGAAAGCCCGGGGCUCAACCUCGGAAUUGCAUUUGAAACUGGCAGACUAGAGUACUGUAGAGGGGGGUAGAAUUUCAGGUGUAGCGGUGAAAUGCGUAGAGAUCUGAAGGAAUACCGGUGGCGAAGGCGGCCCCCUGGACAGAUACUGACACUCAGAUGCGAAAGCGUGGGGAGCAAACAGGAUUAGAUACCCUGGUAGUCCACGCCGUAAACGAUGUCUACUUGGAGGUUGUGGCCUUGAGCCGUGGCUUUCGGAGCUAACGCGUUAAGUAGACCGCCUGGGGAGUACGGUCGCAAGAUUAAAACUCAAAUGAAUUGACGGGGGCCCGCACAAGCGGUGGAGCAUGUGGUUUAAUUCGAUGCAACGCGAAGAACCUUACCUACUCUUGACAUCCAGAGAACUUUCCAGAGAUGGAUUGGUGCCUUCGGGAACUCUGAGACAGGUGCUGCAUGGCUGUCGUCAGCUCGUGUUGUGAAAUGUUGGGUUAAGUCCCGCAACGAGCGCAACCCUUAUCCUUGUUUGCCAGCGAGUAAUGUCGGGAACUCCAGGGAGACUGCCGGUGAUAAACCGGAGGAAGGUGGGGACGACGUCAAGUCAUCAUGGCCCUUACGAGUAGGGCUACACACGUGCUACAAUGGCGCAUACAGAGGGCAGCCAACUUGCGAGAGUGAGCGAAUCCCAAAAAGUGCGUCGUAGUCCGGAUCGGAGUCUGCAACUCGACUCCGUGAAGUCGGAAUCGCUAGUAAUCGUGGAUCAGAAUGCCACGGUGAAUACGUUCCCGGGCCUUGUACACACCGCCCGUCACACCAUGGGAGUGGGCUGCAAAAGAAGUAGGUAGUUUAACCUUCGGGAGGACGCUACCACUUUGUCUGGCCU
rnacentral:rRNA from 1 species